rnacentral:pre_miRNA from 1 species
GUAUGUGUGGAUAGUGUUCAGCACCAAAGACAGGUCUGUUCUGUAUGUGUGGAUAGUGUUCAGCACCAAGGACAGGUCUGUACUGUA